ACGGGAGGCAGCAGUGGGGAAUAUUGCACAAUGGGGGAAACCCUGAUGCAGCGACGCCGCGUGAAGGAAGAAGUAUCUCGGUAUGUAAACUUCUAUCAGCAGGGAAGAUAAUGACGGUACCUGACUAAGAAGCCCCGGCUAACUACGUGCCAGCAGCCGCGGUAAUACGUAGGGGGCAAGCGUUAUCCGGAUUUACUGGGUGUAAAGGGAGCGUAGACGGAGAAGCAAGUCUGAUGUGAAAGGCAUGGGCUCAACCUGUGGACUGCAUUGGAAACUGUUUUUCUUGAGUGCCGGAGGGGUAAGCGGAAUUCCUAGUGUAGCGGUGAAAUGCGUAGAUAUUAGGAGGAGCACCAGUGGCGAAGGCGACUUGCUGGACGACAACUGACGCUGAGGCGCGAAAGCGUGGGGAGCAAACAGGAUUAGAUACCCUGGUA
rnacentral:rRNA from 1 species